GUCCUAGGAGCUCUAGUCCUUACAAGGACUUUCCCAGUUGAAUCCCCUACAGCAGACACAGGAGUAAAUCUUCUUUCCUUCCAAUAACAGGGCGACACAGUUUUGGAGUGUAAACUGGAAUAGAUUUUAAUGGUGUCACACUUGGCCUUAUAUGACAAUCCCCAUGCAAAGGGUACGCCCACCUGGACCUGAUGGUGGACUGAUUUACAACGUCACAUACCAAUAGCAAUAGGGUUACAAGUCACAACACUCCCACACACAGCACACAACCCAUCCCCUCUGCCUGGGAGAUAAUUAGAUCAGUAACUGUACUAAUUCUAGUCUAAUUAUCUCCAAGCACAGAAAAAACCCACACAUUUCUAUAUAAAGUUCCAAAAGUACCCCAAAACACAUAAUAUCCCCACAAAUGUUACAUCCCCUGAUAGCCCUGAUCUGUGUGACCAACAUAUCCAAAAAUCACCCAGAUCUGUUCAGGAAUUCUAUAGAAGUCAUUUAUUUCACCAACCGCAGGCAUGGUCCCAUGCCCAAAACAGUUAGAGAGAAUCAGGGCUUGCGGUCGGUCUAGUUCGGUAGUUUGAAAACAAACAAACUACUGAACAGAGUCAAUAGUCUUACCCUGGAGCUUGUUCCCCUCAUCCAGACGAAUGAUAUCACCGAACAGUGCCCUUCUAAGUUGAACCGAACGCAGGCGAUGAUGGAAGUCCAGUGUCACGAUUCCGGAACCUAACACGCUAACAGGUCACAGAGAGGAAGGAUGCUAUACCGGUCCUUAGAGUGGCCGGGCUAAGCACACAAAGAAUAGUCAGGAGACAAGCCAAGUAAAGGGAGCCAGAAAACAGGAGAACGAGAAACAAGCCGAGGUCAAAGGAGUGGAGAAUACAGGAAAAUCAGAAUAACGAGCCAGAUAAUCGGUAACCAGAGAGAAACACGAGCAAACUGCACUACAGGUAACACAAGACCACAACAGGGCACUGAGAGACAGGAAAGGUAAGUAUAAAUAUCCUUUGCUUGAUUCUGAUUGGAUAACUUCCAAUCAGAAUUAACAAUCACACAUGGGAGAUAUCUACGCCUCCCACUGUGAUUGUGGUACUGUUGCUUUAACGCCGGGUCACGUGAGUGACCCCGGCGUUUGCAUAAAUGUGCGACCUCCCAGCGUGCAGCGUUAUACAUGC